ensembl:lncRNA
UCCAUGUGCUUUCACUACCUGCAUAUUAGACACACACAGUUUGGGCUGAUCAUUGAAUGAGCUGCCAUGCUUCUAAGACAAUGCUGUCCACAAUAUGUUUGGUUCAGAAGGAAAUUAUGUUGGAACAAAGCACACUACAGCAGGCCAGCCAAUCAGGUGUCUACUUUUGUAUUUGUCUGUUCUCAGACCAGCUGGUGGAGGUGGAUUCAGGGGAGGAGUCUGUCCUGCUGCCAUGUAAAACUAUAGCUCACCUGACAAAGAACUGCAGACAGAUCAGCGUUAUGUGGAAGAACUUAGACAACGAUCAGGUCCUUGUGCAUAAGUACGGCUCUGGAAAACCUGAUGAACAGGACCAGGAUUACAGAAACAGAACAGAGAUGAAGAAACACUGGCUGAGAACUGGAGACUUCAGUUUAACCCUGAAACACCCAAUGGACCGGGACGCCAGAGAAUACUCAUGCAUCAUCUACAACAAAAACAAAGUCCUGAAGGAGAAACGAGUGGUGCUGAAGGUCAGAGUCCAACAGGUGGAGGUGGAUUCAGAGGAGGAGUCUGUCCUGCUGCCCUGGAAAACCACAUUACAUAUAGAGGACGUCAGUCAGCUCACAGUGGAGUGGACGGACUAUUAUAACAGGAAGGUCCAUGUGUAUGAGGACGGCUCUGACAGAACUAAUGAACAGCACAAAAUAUACAGAAACAGAACAGAGAUGAAAGAAGACCCACUGAGAACUGGAGACCUCAGUCUGACCCUGAAACACCCCACAGACCUGGACACUGACACCUACACCUGCACCGUCUACAACAGACACAAGCAGAUCCUGAGGAGGAAACAAGUGGAACUGAAGGUCAAAGUCCAACAGGUGGAGGUGGAGGAGGGGGAGGAGUCUGUCCUGUUGCCCUGGAAAACCACAUUACAUAUAGAGGACGUCAGUCAGCUCACAGUGGAGUGGACGGACCGUUAUAACAGGAAGGUCCAUGUGUAUGAGGACGGCUCUGACAGAACUAAUGAACAGGACGAUGAAUACAGAAACAGAACAGAGAUGAAAGAAGACCCACUGAGAACUGGAGACCUCAAUCUGACCCUGAAACACCCCACAGACCAGGACAACCACAUCUACACCUGCACCGUCUACAACAGAGACAAGCAGAUCCUGAGGAGGAAUAACGUGCAUCUGUGGGUCAUAGGUCAACAGGUGGAGGUGGAGGAGGGGGCGUGGUCAGCCCUGCUGCCCUUCAGAACGACCCCUGACCUGCCUCAGGACGCCAGAGUGGUGUGGAUGUACCAAACUAAUGACCUGAAACUCAGACGUGUCCAUGUGUAUGAGAAGGAGUCAGCUCAACCUGAUGAACAGAACUAUAGAUAGAGAAACAGAACAAAGAUGAAUGAAGACCCAUGGACGACUGGAGACUUCAGUCUGACCCUGAAUGACCCCCAACAGGACGACUCUGGAAGAUAUUUAUGUGUAGUCAGCAGAGAUGAAGUCAUCCUGAGAAGGAAAGCAGUGAGGCUGAAGGUCAAAGGUCAGAGUUCAGGUGCAGGUCAGAGGUCAGGUGUGUCUCUGUCCUCUGUCUCCUCUGCAGACAGAACUCAGAUCACAUAUCAGUUUCCUCCAAUAAGCUCAGAUGCAGAAGCUGAAGCAGCUGUUUGAUUGCUCUGUUGUGUGUGUGUUUGUGUUUGUCCAGUCCAACUCCUAAACUGAGGCUUGAUCUUAUUCCUCUUGAAUAUAUGAAACAGGUCAAUCCAAUAGAAAUACACACACUUCAAACACUCAGACUGGGCUGUUCCACUCUUCAUUAUUGUAUUUCUAGUGUUUGUUUCUCUGUGAUGACAGUCUGUCCUCCAAACCAAAGAAAAGCCAAACAAUCCAAUCCAAAGCACUGCAGCCAAAUCUGACAAAUGAACACUGUCAGAGAGGAUGGAUUUUCCACCAGGAUGAUGAUGUGAACCCUAUCUGUAAAUCCACCAUGGACCAGCUCACAGACUCCAGCUGAAGGUUUGGAACGCACCUCACAGUCCCAGACUGGAACAUCAUUGAACAUCUGUGGGUAGGUCUGUCAUGGGGGGAUUGAAUGUUCCCAAAGCUCCAGUUGGAUUUAGUUGUCGUUGGUGUCCAUUUGGUUUUGCCCUCGUUAGUUUCAUGGUUUGUCCAAACCUCUAUAUCUGCUCCCACUGAGUCUCAUUCUGUCAGCUCAGUUUUGGUCCGUUUGUUGAAUGCAUCAGUUCUUGUUCUCAGCCUUAGUGUCUAUUAUUUUUGUGUCCAGUUCUGGGAUGUGGAGCUCUUUUCUCUGCUUAAUUGUUCAAACUAUCAUUUGUAAUCCUUUUUUGGAUCAUUUGGGCUGAAUAAACCCCACAGCUGUGUCCUGCUCGUCUUACUGCUCGGUCCCAAACACAGAUCAGAGAGAACAGUGAAGCAUGGGUCCAGUCCUCCAGAGACAGCACAUGGAAUCCAAAGCUACAAAAGCAGCACAUCCAGUAGAAAGCCACCCAAUCCAUCAGCACAGGAUCACAGACAGGGAUGGAAACAGACAUCACAUAUGGACACACAGCAUCCAUGAGCAUGACACACACAACACACACACAUAUGUUUGACACAAGUGCAACGGAGGAGCCCAGAGCAGAACACCCCAGUAAAGUCCAACAGUUUGAUUAACAGGCAAACUGUCCACAGACAGGACAGACAGCAGGGCAGUCAGACAGGCGCUGGGUCUGGAGCCGGGGAAUCCCAACGGGACCAGGAGGGCCCAGGCUGGAGACCUGGGCGGAGACGGAAGGAGGGGCCAUCAUCUGGGACUCAGGCGGAGAGAGCUGGGCAAACAAAGGUGGUUUUAGGGUCAGUUUGGGUGAAUUUGGGGGAUUUUUGAGUCCUAACUUCUCAUUAGUCCAUGUGCAUUCUGGAUCAGAUCUACAAAGACACUGAACACUGAGGAACAGGAAGAAAAGAGUUCAGACUGGACUGAAUUUAAUACAGACAUUUGGACACAUUUGUUCAGGUUAGUCACAUUUUAUUGGUACAGGAGAGGUUGGAAAUGGAAAGAUUUUCAUCAUUUAAUGUUAAUUUUUUUGGCACUAAAAUUUGAAGUUGUCAUUAAUUAUUGGCAUAAUGUUAGGUGGUUUUGGGUGAUUUUUAGGUAUUUUUUGGGUUAUUUUUAGGUGUUUUUGGGUGAUUUUUAGGCGGUUUUUUAGGUUGUUUUUGGGUGUUUUUUGGGUGUUUUUUUGGAUGAUUUUAAGAUUUUUUGGGUGUUUUUUAGGUGAUUUUUGGGUGAUUUUUAGGUGUUUUUUUGAGUGAUUUUUAGGUAUUUUUGGGGUUUUUUUUAUGUGGUUUUGGGUGAUUUUUAGGUCGUUUUUGUGAUUUUUAGGUGGUGGUGGGGGGGUUGUGGUUAUUAGGUGGUUUUUGAGUAAUUUUUAGGUGAUUUUAGGGUUAUUUUUGGGUCGUUUUUGAGUAGUAACUUCUCAUUAGUCCAUGUGCAUUCUGGAUCAGAUCUCCAAAGACACUAAACACUGAGGAACAGGAAGAAAAGAGUUCAAACUGGACUGAAUUUAAUACAGACAUUUCAGGUUGGUCACAUUUGUUCAGGUUAUUCACAUUUUAUUGGUACAGGAGAGUUUGGAAAUGGAAAUAUUUUCAUGAUUUUAUGGGGUUUUUUUGCACUAAAACAAAGAAAAAAUUUGAAGUUGUUAAUUCAAGAUUUUUUGCUAAAUUUGAAAUUUUUUUUGGGCUUAAUUCAGCAUUUUUUUUUUACUUAAAUGAAGAUUUUUUUUUUUUUUGCUUAAUUCAAGAUUUUUUUCCUUAAUUCAAGCCAUUUUUUUUUCCUUUUUUUUGCUUAAUUCAAUUCAAGACUGUGGAAUUUUUGUACUAUGUGGAACCUGAAUUAAAAUGAUGUGGACACCACUGAUUGUUAACAUCUUAGUGUAAUUUUUUCAUUUCACAAAUUCAUCCCAGGGUCGGACUGGACCCUUUGCUGGGCCGGAUUUGGCCCCCGGGCCUCAUGUUUGACACCUGUGCUCUAGAAUCUUGUCAGAAUCAGAAGGACACUUAUCAGCACCUCUACAAACCUGCUCUGAAAUUCUUCUGUCCUCCUUCUUCUUCUGUUCCAUGUGAAAGAGUGUUCUCCAAAGCAGCAGAACUGGGAUCAAACACACCAAAUGGUCCAACUUGCUGCAAAAACGUCUUUUCCUUCAUUCAAAUGUGGAACCCCUGCCUUGUCCCCCCAGUAACAAGUCCACAAUCUCUGCAAUGUCCUAAAGGAUUUGGACCAAACUGUCCCUUUAGUUUGACAUUUUCAGUUUGACUUGAACAUUUUGUUUUGUUCAUUCUUCAUUUGACACACCGUAUGAGUUCUAAUAUUUGGCUUCUAUUCAAAUGAAUUGGAAUUCAUCCAAAUCCCUUUCAUUCAGUAAACACAUGAAUUCAUCAUUUGGUGUCCACCAGGCCCGGACUGGCUAAUCGGGAGGACCGGGACAAUUCCCGGUGGGCCGGUAUAAUAUUUAGGCCGCGAGGGCCGGAGUUCACUUUAAAUAUGUAUUUAAUAUUUUAUUUAUUUAUUUUUGGGGGCCGGUGUUCAGUCAUAGCACUGAGUUGAUCACGUAAUCUGCAGCCGCUGUUCCUGGGCCCCACCCCCUCUACUAGUAAACUGUUUGUUUUCUUCUUCUUUUUUUGCGGACACACCGUGACCUGACGUAGUAUGUCCUUGCAUACAGUUAGUAGCUCUGUACUGUAUCUGUGGAGCAGAUACCAUCUGUGCUCUGUAGGCUGUGGAUGGUCAGCUGUGUUUACUGUUUUAAUAGAAAGAGCAAAGGUGGCACAGAGAAGGCAAGAAUUAAAAAGAGGCAAGAAUUAAAAAGAGGAAAGCUCUGGAAGCAAACGCAGCCAAAUCUGCCAAAAUCUGCAACUUUUUUCUUUUUUACAAAAACGACCUCCCGGUUGGAAACAACUAAUGAGGACGAUGAACCGGGUAAACCACCUUUCAAGCAAGGUUAUUAUCGUUAACGAAAACAAACAAAAUGACGAAAACUAAAAUUGAAAUAACAUUUUCGUUAACUGAAAUAAAUAAAAACUCUAAUUAAAAGAAAAAAACGAUAACUAACUGAAACUGUAUUGUGAGCUUACAAAACUAACUAAAACGUAUAAAAAUUAUUGAUUGAAUUCCCUUCGUUUUCGUCUUUGUCAAUGUCGGAUUGAUAUGAAAUUAAUUUAUUUCACUCCAGCAGUUUGAGCUGGUGACACCAUACAACACUACAUAGUCUGUCAUGUCUGGUCACUGGUGGUUUCCAGUGGUCUUCUGGUCCCCACUCUACCUGGAACAUACAGACUAAAGCUGGGACACAGCAGCACAGUCCUGUCUGGGGUUUACUUUAGUGAUACAUGGGUCGGGUU